rnacentral:misc_RNA from 1 species
GAAAUGCGAUACGUAAUGCGAAUUGCAGAAUUCAGUGAAUCAUCGAAUCUUUGAACGCAAGUUGCGCUUUCGAGAGCCCUCGAAAGCAUGCCUCUUUGAGUAUCGGAUCCUAUCUCGUACCUGGUGCGGAAAGUGAGGGUCGCCUGGGCAGGCGUCUCUUCAAGUUAGAUUGCGGAAAGUCCAUCGGGGGGAUUCUUGGAACGACAAUCCUAGCGUAUAUAUGGCAGAGAGAGAGAGAGUGUCCCUGGGGGGGCAGCUCUUCUCUACACACAAGAUCUCAAAUGAGGUAGGAGUACCCGCUGAAUUUAA